UGUCAUAUGCGAAUUUGUAAAUUUAUAUAUUUUUUGUAGUAUCUUGGAGAAGUGAAAAAGAAUAUUAAUUACUGUAAAAUGGGGUUACUUUGUGACAGUUUUUAAGGUUUUACUCGCACGGGCCAGACAGUGUAAAUUAUGAAGUUUAAUAAGUAAUACCAAGAAGUUGCUGAAACCUUCCAAUUUGUGGCCAUAUGUUAUACAAAUAAAUAUGUUCAACAGGAAACCAUUAUAUGAGUGUUACACAUUGUCACAAGGUUACCCCACUGGAUGGGCUACUGUGUGACAAGCUUUGUUUUUGCUUCGAAACACAUGGAAAAAUAAUCACUGACACAAAGUUACCCCAUCAGAUGUUUGUUAAAAAGCAAUAUACAAGACAUUGGUUUAUUGUUUGACAACAUAAAGAAUUUACAAAGGUAGCUACUUAAUCUAAAAAUAAAUCUUUAACAUUAAAAAAGACCUCGCUUUCCUACUGGUGUUGGAAGUGUUAUUUUCAUACAGAACUUACUCCGUUGAAUAAUAAAUGGAAUCGUCUUGUUCUGGCAACUUGCAGCAUUUUUUUCACCAUUCCAUUUCGCUUACCAUGUAGCCUCCUUGCUUGAUAUCAGUCACUCUUCCAGGGAACAUUUCCCCUUCGAAGUUCACUACCACAAAGUCAUCAAGUUUGAAUGUGCAUUCAGGGGACUUCUUAGUGGCCCUUUUCAAGUGGUGCACGUUUCUUGUGUCUCGAUGUAACUUACCAAUAGUCGAAGGUGCGUCUCUGUCUCAUGGCUCAUCUGAUGAACUUUCACAGAGAACUUCCGAGUCACUCACUCAAAUCUUCAUCGGUCCACUUGAUGAUUUCACUCUCAUCUGAGGACUUGACCUUAUCAGUGACUCUUCUUGAGACUUCAGAACACUUUUCCUUCAGCUGCUGAGUAUUGCCGGUACCAGGACUUGAAGAUUUCACCUUCGUCCUACCAAUGGUCGCUUCUACUACUGGUAUGCUGAUUUUAUGGUUGUAUAAUUAUACUGUUUACAUAAAUACUACAAUUAACGUCAAAUGACGCCGUAAUGUAGCCAACAUAUUAACAGUCAGGCGUACAUACAUGUUUUCUGGUGUUCUUUCACAUGAAUGGCUCUAGAACACGACGUUUACAACAAUUCAAACAAUGGUUCCAAAGCUGGUUUCAAGACAAACGCAGUGCCAACGAACAAAAGAAGCGCAGCAGAUUCAGCUGGCUGCCGCAAGAUGGUGCAGCACUGCAGGCAAGCUGCUGGAGCUAAUCUUUGGUUUCUAGGCAUCUUGGACGCAGCGGGAGAUUCAAAAUAAGCGAAAAUUAACAUAUGUCAUAAAGUAGCCCCUACAGUCACAAAGUAACCCCAUUUUACGGUACAAUUUUUCUUGUGUGAAAUAAAUCAACUGAACUUAAAACUUCUUUUGUCUGCAGAGUAAGAAGAUAGAUACUUAAAUUUCUCAAUCUUAAUGAGCUGUAUUCUUAUGAAGAAUAAGAAGUACCAGUAAAUACUGUUGUAAUAAUACUGUAAAUAUGUUACUAUGCAAUUAUUGACUCACAGAGUAUGAAACUAUAUGAAGUCAUCAAUUUAUAUCUUUUCAGAUUCAAAAAUCAGUUAAAUUGAAGAUGGAAAGAAAUAAGAAAUUAUUAUUCACAGGACCACACAAUCUCAUCCAAAUGUGCGCAUUGUAUUGCAUGUGGGGUAUUAUAGGGAGACUACACAUCUAUGACUGUGAAGUGUAGUAGAUAGCAAUGCAACUGUAAUGUGUCACAUAGCAUGAUGCACCUUUUGCCCUAUUAAUAUUUUAUAACAUUGGCAAUGGACAUUUCCUUGAUGUCAGUUCAUUCGUUUAUUUUGCUGUUCGGGACCCACAAUUUUUGUUUCGUGUUUAUUCAUCCUUUUUUAAUAUGUGGGACUAUCCAAAAUUAACAGAUUGUUGCAAACGCAACAAAAUACUUUUAGUACAUCAUACAAAAAAUUCUGAUUUUUACCCGAGUUUAAAAAUCAACAUGUACUAUACUCUUUGAGUUAUCGACUAAAAAUAUUUGUCAUUGUCAUUAAAUUAAUACCUGAUCGUUUCUGCAACAUUGUUCAAAAAGUCAUUCAUUUGGGUAUACGUUUGUAAAGCUGUAUAUUGUAUUUAUCGACAUAAAACUCUCUUUGUGCGUAGGUCAAACGUUCCAGUUCAUAGCGAUAAUGUCGUAUAGUACAGUCGGUGACAGAAUUCACAAGACCCCUUGCCUCAUUGUAAUGCUGAGCUUCAAAACUUGCUCUCUGUUAACACAGCAUCAUGCGCAAGGAGAGAGGUGCUAUCGUCAUAUUACAGGCAUGCAGUCGAAAAAGCAGUCUGACCAUUGUGAGAAUGUUCUAGGUAAAUAUAGGAGAUUAUAUUGCUACUGAUUCAUGUAUGUCUCACGCUUGUCUGUCGCGUCCAACAAACUAACGAAAAAAAGCAAUUUUUUAUGGAAUUAACAAAUAAAACCGAACUAAAGGUUAUGAUUAUAGCUUUACAGAACAGUAUUUUUAAUAAAAUAAAGUAUCCCAAAUUGUCACAAAUUAGCAGGCUAAUAUACAUUUUUGCCUUCGAAACAGUCUGUAUCCAUGUUCUGUCCACAGUCAUACUGAAGUAAGGAAGUAACGUUACGGAUCCACCAAGAACCUAUGCAAGUCUUGUAGCAGCAGUACACACAUAAGAAAAUGCACUUAACAGUUCAUUCAGUGCCACAAUUAGGUUUAUGCAGUUGACAGAAGCAGAAGAAGAAGUCGCUAUCAACUGUGCAAUUCAGAAAAUUUUUAACCUUAUAACAUUUCAGCUCCUCAACACCAAAUUAAAACGUUCCACUUCAAUUUGUUUGCACUUAUAGCGAUCCCAGCUUCCUCAACCAAAUUAAAACGUUGCAUUAGGAGGUGUCUGCUUCGUGCAAAGGUCUUGAGUUCAUAUUGACGACAACAAGUAAUUCUUCAUUACAGACGUUUAUUUACAAACAAAACUGACAGACUUCACAGACUCAACAACUGACUCUCCGAGCUAACCGCACUGCAUAUCCGAACUGGCAACUGACAACUCCUAGGUGUAUUAAUAUCUUUCCAAACAAUGAGAGUCUUUGACAAUGUUUUGUUUACAAUACGAUAGGAAUUCACGACUUAAAACUAAAUUAGACAUUACAGAAUUUUAGUACAGAUUAAAUACAUCACAUGCUCAGGGAUUUGUCAUUGGUGGGAGGACAGGAGCUGGGUGCACUCAGCCUCGUGAUGCCAGUUAAGAGGUUGCGGCGCCAUGAGCGAAAAACCAAAAGCACAUCAGUUGUACCCACUGAAAUAGCCAAAGAAAUCAUCAGUUACAGUAAAAAUACUACAUCACAUUCAACAAAUGAAGACUGAAU